GGCGAACGGGUGAGGAACACGUGAGAAAUUUGCCCCGAACUUUGGGAUAACAGUUGGAAACGACUGCUAAUACCGAAUGCCGUUACAUGGUGGCAUCACUUUGUAACGAAAGAAUUUCGGUUCGGGAGAAUCUCGCGGCCUAUCAGCUUGUUGGUGAGGUAAUGGCUCACCAAGGCUACGACGGGUAGCUGGUCUGAGAGGAUGAUCAGCCACACUGGGACUGAGACACGGCCCAGACUCCUACGGGAGGCAGCAGUGGGGAAUCUUGUGCAAUGGACGAAAGUCUGACACAGCCACGCCGCGUGCGGGAAGAAGGCCUUCGGGUUGUAAACCGCUUUCAGCAGGAACGAAAAUGACGGUACCUGCAGAAGAAGGAGCGGCCAACUACGUGCCAGCAGCCGCGGUGACACGUAGGCUCCAAGCGUUGUCCGGAUUUAUUGGGCGUAAAGAGCUCGUAGGCGGUUCAGCAAGUCGGGUGUGAAAACUCUGGGCUCAACCCAGAGCCUGCACCCGAAACUGCUGUGACUAGAGUUCGGUAGGGGAGUGGGGAAUUCCUAGUGUAGCGGUGAAAUGCGCAGAUAUUAGGAGGAACACCGAUGGCGAAGGCACCACUCUGGG
rnacentral:rRNA from 1 species